rnacentral:tRNA from 1 species
GGAAUUGUGACUUAGUGUAGAGUGCUUGUCUGGCAUGCAUGAAGCUCUAGGUUUGAUUCCUCAGUACCA